GGAAAACUCUGGAAACCCAACCCAGCCCUCUUCCUUCCCACCAAUCCCCAACUAAACUUGGGUUCUUGGCUUGCCACCCCUACACUACACCAGGACAUGUAAUGGACAGUCAAAGCUGAGUUGGCAGGCCUGGGGGUGGGGGAGGGGGGAAAAUCAGCCUUCAGUCAGCACUUGAGUUGACAGUUUCAGAUUCUCCUCCCUAUCUGGGUCCCCUGGGGUGCCAUCUUUUCCCUAGGCCUCCCUUGAACCUCUCCUGAUUUGGGGGGCAGAGCCUCCCCUCCCCCCACCCCAUAGGAGCAUCAACACUAGUGCUCAUAAUCAAAUAUACAAGACUCUUACAGGUGCACACAGGUAUGUGUACUCAGUGUUUCCUACCCACUAGCAUAGGCACGGAGGCCCACACUCACAUCUCCCUUCCCACUAGAAACUAAGGCCUUCCCAACACUCUCAACUUGGAGGAAGUUGGGCAAAAUAUAUAUGCUCUGAGAAAAGUUGAAAGAUCAAGUCCUAAACACCCAAGAGGAAGGAAAAACCAAGUGCUCCAAAGACGUAUGAGAAGUUGUAAGACUAACGUUUUCUGGGUGGAAAGUUUUCAUUAGAAGAUUUAGAGGACACCAGGAGGGAAGGGCCUGGAAGUCCCAGGGGUGAGAAGAGUCCGCAGGGAUUCUGUCCCCAGCCCUUAUGGUACAGCUGGGUACCAAACACAGGAAAGAAAAAAGAGUGGGAUGCGUUCUUGGUUUGGCCGCCAGAAGCCCUCUGAUGCUCCCCACACCAUUGCCCGAGACGCUGACCAGUCUCUCCUCGCGCUUACCUGCCCGACCCGCGUGCUGUUCCAUACUCUGCUCCCGGCCGCCUGGGCCUGGCUUCCCAGCUUCUCUGCGGCGGGACAGUGCGUCUCGCCUUGGCCGCCGCCGCCCGGAGAUCUGGGAUCAGCCACCCAAGACCGAGCGGCUCAGAUAACCCAGGCUGCCAGCCGCCUCGGCGGUGCGCUUCGCUUGCGCCCGCGCUCACACAACCCGCGGCGCAGAGGCACAGCAGCCAGCAGAGGAGCCCCUGGCUCUCCGCCUCGCGCACACGCGCGUACACGCGCGGAGGCCCCCAGCCAGCCGCAGGCACCCUUGCUGCCUGAGGCGCCUAAAGACCGAAUCCCGGGUCUAGACGCCUGCACACCCUCUCACCCCACCCCCUCUUCUUCACUGUCACACGCUCCCCUUCAGUGUACAGCCUCCAGCGCAGGGGCGUCCUCGCUCCCCAACUUUGUGUGGUAACCCUUCCCCAGGACUCUCGGCACUCUCCCCAUCCUACUCUCUGGACCAUCAGGCUCCACUGCCUGUCACGCGCCUUCAGGUCUCAAGCUCAGUCUCCAAGAUACAGUAGUGCUCCAACUUUCACAGGCCAUGCAGUCGUUCCCAGAGGUCCCUGUCUCCAGUAUAUUCAUUGUGAGCUGCUCACGAAAUCCUUCAUAAGCUUUCCCACUCUGGAUCACUUUUCUUCUUAUUUUUUAAAACAAUCAAACGAAAAGAAAAAGUACUGGCUUCCUUGCGUCUGAAGAGAUGAGGAGGACCAGGGAAAGGGGAGGAAAGUCCCAUCCCUCUCACACUCAUUUAGACUGCCACUUGAACACGCCCUUCUACAAUAUUCUG
rnacentral:lncRNA from 1 species